AUAUGCAAUUAAUAACGUCGGUCCGUCGAGGUGUCUACGUGGGAAGGAGUAAUGACACGACUCCUCCAUCACUGGUCGAAUGGAUUGCCCGACCACCGGCGGAUGAAUGUGCUCGACGUGGUCGGUUGUUUCAGUGGAAAUUGGAUCCCACAAUUACAGGUCUUCUUCGAGUUUGGGAGGCGAUAUAAGCAUCUCAUUCGCGCAGAGAGGACCUGCCGCCACAACCUUGAAUGGAUUCGUCGAAGCCUUACCAGCGUCGUCCGUUCCAGGGAUGUGUACAUCCGUGUCUGCGUGCUCCGCAAUACGGUGGAGCAAAUCUACAUCCUGUGCGCUCAGGACGACGCGUUCACGGAAGCUGGGCAGCGCAGCGUCGAUGGUGGGAAGUACUCGUCGUGGUAACUUAAUUGCCAUUUUGGCUCUUCGUCUUUCAAGGGAAGUGAACGAGACCUGCGGCACUUGGGUCCUGCAGUGAAUCAUCCACCCUCGUCUGCUUGAACUUUUCUUCAUGGUGAAAAAUAUGGUGUAUUCUUAAUUCACAUAGGCUUAAUUAUCACUUGCUGAACUCAAUAUUUGAUUGAACUUUCUAAAUCUUUACUAAUUUAAAUAUUAGAGAAAUUUUAUUGGGUA